rnacentral:rRNA from 1 species
AGCGAACGCUGGCGGCAGGCCUAACACAUGCAAGUCGAACGGACCCUUCGGGGUUAGUGGCGGACGGGUGAGUAACACGUGGGAACGUGCCUUUAGGUUCGGAAUAGCUCCUGGAAACGGGUGGUAAUGCCGAAUGUGCCCUUCGGGGGAAAGAUUUAUCGCCUUUAGAGCGGCCCGCGUCUGAUUAGCUAGUUGGUGAGGUAACGGCUCACCAAGGCGACGAUCAGUAGCUGGUCUGAGAGGAUGACCAGCCACACUGGGACUGAGACACGGCCCAGACUCCUACGGGAGGCAGCAGUGGGGAAUCUUGCGCAAUGGGCGAAAGCCUGACGCAGCCAUACCGCGUGAAUGAUGAAGGUCUUAGGAUUGUAAAAUUCUUUCACCGGGGACGAUAAUGACGGUACCCGGAGAAGAAGCCCCGGCUAACUUCGUG